rnacentral:rRNA from 1 species
UGGGGGAUAUUGCACAAUGGGCGAAAGCCUGAUGCAGCAACGCCGCGUGAGGGAAGACGGUUUUCGGAUUGUAAACCUCUGUCUUUGGUGACGAAACAAAUGACGGUAGCCAAGGAGGAAGCCACGGCUAACUACGUGCCAGCAGCCGCGGUAAUACGUAGGUGGCGAGCGUUGUCCGGAAUUACUGGGGGUAAAGGGAGCGCAGGCGGGGAGACAAGUCAGAUGUUAAAUCUAUCGGCGUACCUGAUAGAGUGCAGUUGAAACUGUUUUUCUUUAGUGGAGCAGAGGCAGGCGGAAUUCCGAGUGUAGCGGUGAAAUGCGUAGAUAUUCGGAGGAACACCAGUGGCGAAGGCGGCCUGCUGGGCUUUAACUGACGCUGAGGCUCGAAAGUGUGGGGAGCAAACA